rnacentral:sRNA from 1 species
CCACAGGACCGAAGCUGCACAAAGUUUGCAGGAUUGUGUGCAUAAUUACCUCUGCCGACGAAUCUAUUCCCACAGAAAGCUUCGCUGGAGAGAUUACAAUGCUUUGAGCCUUACCGCAUUUCAGUGGGGGAAAAAAAGUUACCUAGGAGAUUCAAGUCAAUCUGAAAGUCCCAGCCAGCCAAGUGACGCUGACAUUAAGGACCAGCCAGAAAAUGGACAUUUGGGCUUCCAGGACAGUUUUGUCACAUCAGGUGUUUUUAGUGUCACUGAGCUAGUAAGAGUGUCACAGACACCAAUAGCUGCAGGAACUGGCCCAAAUUUUUCUCUCUCAGAUUUGGAAAGUUCUUCAUACUACAGCAUGAGUCCAGGAGCAAUGAGGAGGUCUUUACCCAGCACAUCCUCUACGAGCUCCACAAAGCGCCUCAAGUCUGUGGAGGAUGAAAUGGACAGUCCUGGUGAGGAGCCAUUUUAUACAGGCCAAGGGCGCUCCCCAGGAAGUGGCAGUCAGUCAAGUGGAUGGCAUGAAGUGGAGCCAGGAAUGCCAUCUCCAACCACACUGAAGAAGUCGGAGAAGUCUGGUUUCAGCAGCCCCUCCCCUUCACAGACCUCCUCCCUGGGAACGGCGUUCACACAGCAUCACCGACCUGUCAUUACAGGACCCAGAGCAAGUCCGCAUGCAACACCAUCGACUCUUCAUUUCCCGACAUCACCCAUUAUCCAGCAGCCUGGGCCUUACUUCUCACACCCAGCCAUCCGCUAUCACCCUCAGGAGACACUGAAAGAAUUUGUCCAACUUGUCUGCCCUGAUGCUGGUCAGCAGGCUGGACAGGUGGGGUUCCUCAAUCCCAAUGGGAGCAGCCAAGGCAAGGUGCACAACCCAUUCCUUCCCACCCCAAUGUUGCCACCGCCACCGCCACCACCGAUGGCCAGGCCUGUGCCUCUGCCGGUGCCAGACACAAAGCCUCCAACCACGUCAACAGAAGGAGGUGCAGCCUCCCCCACGUCACCAA